rnacentral:rRNA from 1 species
CCUACGGGAGGCAGCAGUGAGGAAUAUUGGUCAAUGGACGAGAGUCUGAACCAGCCACGUCGCGUGAAGGAUUACUGCUCUAUGGGUUGUAACCUUCUUUUAUAUGGGAAUAAAAUGUUCCACGUGUGGGAUUUUGUAUGUACCAUAUGAAUAAGGAUCGGCUAACUCCGUGCCAGCAGCCGCGGGAAUACGGAGGAUUCGAGCGUUAUCCGGAUUUAUUGGGUUUAAAGGGAGCGUAGGUGGAUUGUUAAGUCAGUUGUGAAAGUUUGCGGCUCAACCGUAGAAUUGCAGUUGAAACUGGCAGUCGUGAGUACAUGAGAGGUGGGCGGAAUUCGUGGUGUAGCGGUGAAAUGCUUAGAUAUCACGAAGAACUCCGAUUGCGAAGGCAGCUCACUGGACUGCAACUGACACUGAGGCGCGAAAGUGUGGGUAGCAAACAGGAUUAGAUACCCCUGUAGUC